rnacentral:lncRNA from 1 species
UGACUUAAGUUCUGAUCGCGUGUACAAAUCGCAAAGAAUUUUGUGUGUUCUGAUUAAGUGUUAAUCAAGCAAGAAAAUAAGAUAUUGGCUGAGAACUUAUGUUAAUAUUCUUCUGUUGGUUGCUACUUUAGUUGUUGACCAUAUACUUUUGCUUUUAAUACCACGAGCUUCCUUUAUUAAAGCUUUUGAUUCGUUGGUUAAAUAAAUUAGAACAUUUCU